rnacentral:rRNA from 1 species
UACGUAGGGGGCAAGCGUUGUCCGGAGUUACUGGGCGUAAAGCGCACGCAGGCGGUCUUUUAAGUUUGGAGUGACAGUUGGGGGCUUAACUGCCAAAGUGCUUCGAAAACUGAGAGACUUGAGGGCUUCAGAGGGACACGGAAUUCCGGGUGGAGUGGUGAAAUGCGUAGAGAUCCGGAGGAACACCAAAGGCGAAGGCAGUGUCCUGGGGAGUACCUGACGCUCAGGUGCGAAAGCCAGGGGAGCGAACGGG